rnacentral:sRNA from 15 species
UAUCUGGAAUUUCCAUUGAAUUAAAAGGAGAUAAUAUUA